AUUAUUAUUAUUAGCCGAGGUUGACUUUGUCUUUCAUCCUUUCAGGAUCGAUAAAAUAAGUACCAGUUGAGCACUGGAGUAGAUGUAAUUCAUUUACCCCUCCCUCGAAGUUAUUGACCUUGUGCCAAAAUUUGAAACCAUUAUUAUAUGA